GACAGAGGUCCCGAGCGUUAGGCGGAAUCACUGGGCUUAAAGCGUGUGUAGGCGGACGGGUAAGUACCUUGUGAAAUCCCACGGCUCAACCGUGGAACUGCUUGGUAUACUGCCUGUCUUGAGCCAGCUAGGGGCAACCGGAACAAAUGGUGGAGCGGUGAAAUGCGUAGAUAUCAGGAGGAACACCGAUGGCGAAGGCAGGUCACUGGGCCGCAACUGACGCUGAGGAGCGAAAGCAUGGGGAGCGAACAGG
rnacentral:rRNA from 1 species